UACGUAGGCAGCAAGCGUUGUUCGGAGUUACUGGGCGUAAAGGGUGUGUAGGCGGUUGUUUAAGUUUGGUGUGAAAUCUCCCGGCUCAACUGGGAGGGUGCGCCGAAUACUGAAUGACUAGAGUGCGGGAGAGGAAAGUGGAAUUCCUGGUGUAGCGGUGAAAUGCGUAGAUAUCAGGAGGAACACCGGUGGUGUAGACGGCUUUCUGGACCGUAACUGACGCUGAGACACGAAAGUGCGUAGGGUAGCAAACAGG
rnacentral:rRNA from 1 species